CGCCAGUUGGCUACGCGAGCGCAUGAGUAGUUGUGGACAUGAUGCUGCCGGGAGGCCCCCCGUAAUUGCGCGGCCGACUCUCGGUGCAAUGUCCUUUCAAGUCAGUGGGUGUCGAACCAGUGAUACUAAAAAGUGCUUGCAUGGUGCUACCCGUAUUGCGGGAAGUUGGUGUUUGUACAAGUUGCCUUCGUUGUGUCCGUCCUUUGGGCGUGACAAAUCGGUCACCUAGCCGUAGCGUUGUUGCCAGGUCAUGCAUGUUUGCAUUUUCUUUGGCUCCUCGCUAUUGCUAUUGGUCUAGGAUGAUGCUUAUGGUAUAGGCUCUUGGCCAUUUUGUGCCGUGAUCCUCAAGAAGCCCCUUCGGGAAAAAUAACAGUUGGUUCGGCUGCUGUUGUUGUUAGGCCCUUGAGGCCUUCCAGCAAUGGUAGUUGCAACCAACUUGUCCAUUAGGACGUGCUACCUGGUUGAUCCUGCCAGUAGUCAUAUGCUUGUCUGUCAUAGCUGGUUUCCUAA
rnacentral:misc_RNA from 1 species